UGGGGAAUCUUGCGCAAUGGGCGAAAGCCUGACGCAGCAACGCCGCGUGUGGGAAGACGGCCUUCGGGUUGUAAACCACUUUCAGGGGGACGAAGCUUCCGAGGUUAAUAGCCUACGGGGUGACGGUACCCCCAGAAGAAGCCCCGGCUAACUACGUGCCAGCAGCCGCGGUAAUACGUAGGGGGCGAGCGUUGUCCGGAAUCAUUGGGCGUAAAGCGCGUGUAGGCGGCUCGGUAAGUCCGGUGUGAAACCUUGGGGCUCAACCCCAAGCCUGCACUGGAUACUGUCGAGCUAGAGUCCGGGAGGGGAGAGCGGAAUUCCUAGUGUAGCGGUGAAAUGCGCAGAUAUUAGGAAGAACACCGGUGGCGAAGGCGGCUCUCUGGAACGGUACUGACGCUGAGACGCGAAAGCGUGGGGAGCGAACAGGAUUAGAUACCCUGGUAGUCCACGCCGUAAACGAUGGGCACUAGAUGUGGGCGGUGUCGACUCCGUCCGUGUCGAAGCUAACGCAUUAAGUG
rnacentral:rRNA from 1 species